GAUGAAGAACGUAGUGAACGUGCGAAACGUAAUGUGAAUUGCAGAAUUCAGUGAAUCAUCGAAUCUUUGAACGCAUCUUGCGCUCCUUGGUACUCCGAGGAGCAUGCCUGUUUGAGUGUCGUGAAUACUCUCAACUUCAACCCUUUUUUCGGAAAGGGAGGAAGGUUGGACUUGGGUGUUUGUUGAAGUGCGAGCUUCGACUCAUCCUAAAUGCAUUAGCGAUCUGCCUCGAUCACACACAAUGUGAUAAUUAAAACUAAAGCAUUGUUUAAUGAUCAAGUCGAGACUGCUUCUAACUGUCGCAAGACAAUAACGUGCAUACAUUUGUGCAUGUCAUUUGACCUCAAAUCAGGUAGGACUACCCGCUGAACUUAAGCAUAUCAAUAAGCGGAGGA
rnacentral:misc_RNA from 1 species